GGGCAAUACCAACACUCGAGCAAAAUUCGAGCACAGUUCGAGUAGUUUGAUUUGUACAGUUGAGGCGUGCGGACGUGCGUGUACGUCGUCCGUGUCGAGUGAACGAGCAUACCUAGCAGCAGUACCAGAAUUAGCACCAGCACCAAGGACUGAAAGCGAAGAGGUGCUGCCCGGGAGCGGUGGAACGUUGUACAUCAAUUACAUGAAAUAAAGCGAAUAAAUUGAGAUACAAAACAAACAUACACAAUAUUGUGAAAGCAAAUUAGAUUUUUAGAAAAAAAGUGAUUGAUUUCCGUACUUCCCGUGUGUCUCCUGUGAGCGUAUGUGCACGUGCGCAUGUGUGCACGUUAGCCUGCUAGUGUGUGUGUGUGUGUGUGUGUGUUGUGGCGGGGGAGGGUUUGAUCCGGCCCAGCGCAGUGCGCGUGUGUUUGGGCGAGCGCGGCGCAAUGUUUAACCGACGCAGAAACGAUCGCAGGAUUAAACCGCUCGGUGGGUGUCGUUGGUGAAACGACGGGGUUUUAAUUUUCGUGUGUAUGAGAGAGAGAGAGAGAGCGAAAGAGAAAAAGUGUGCGUCUGCCCGAUCAGCAGUAUUCGAGGGAGUGCGAGGGAGC